ACGAGUUUGAACGCAAACUGCUUAAUUACGAGUACCCUCAUUAAUAUCAAGUGCAUUUAAUGAAUUUAUUAAAAUAUAAUUAAAACUGUCAAUUGGAUUUCUUGCUUUUAGUGUUUUUAAAGAGCGGUAAAUUUAAAAAAACAACAUAUUUCAUAAAGCACGACAGGCUAUUUUCGUUGCUCUCACAGUGAAGAGAGUCAUUGUUAAAAAAGUUCAUUCGUGCAUAAAUCCUCGAUAAUCGCUUAAGUCCUUAAGUAGUAACAAGUUUUCUACAACAAAACGAGCUGCACACUCGUAUUUUUAGCCAGCCAACCAUUCGGCCGUUGCUAAGAUUCGUCGUUAAGCUGCUAAGGGCCAUUUACAGAGAAAAAAACAACAACACAAAUACAACCAUUGUAGCUACAAUAACGGUAAACAAGUGCAAAAGUUUGCAUCUCGUAGUUUGGAACAGUGCGUAUUGUUGUUUUUGUAGACAUGCUAGCUACUAUCAAGCCUAAUUGAGGAUCCCUAAACUAAAAGUGUUUGAAGAACUUCGAAGGCAUGCAAAUUUGUUAUUAGAAAUAUUGAAAGUUGAGCGAAACGCAGAGAGAAGCGCACAAAAUCUCAACAGAAACCCUGCAACAGCACAAACAAUAUCGCCCAGCCUACUUCUGUGUUGGCAUGUUGCUGUAGUUGGCAUCGCUAGCAAACUAAAUGACGCCAAUCGUUACAGCAACAAAAACAGUAAUAAUAAAGCACACAUAUCGAGCCAUUGAAACGGCACUUUCCGCUGGACACGGACACACACAAAUGCGGCCAGAGCCAGAGCGAGGCGACCUAGCACCAAUUACAAUAAAUAAAAUAGCAAAAGCGACAACAACAACAACGAUAUUACAGCAUUUUUCGCAUUAGUUGCGUAGCGUGAAAGUAAGGCGGGAAGUGCGUGUUUACGCCGCGUGGUCAGUGAGCGACAGGAAGUCCGCCUGUGUGUGUGUGUGUGUGAGGCUUAGUGUGGAACACGCCCAAGACGCCUAGCAACAGAGAUUUUCGGUCGUGUACGCCAAAACGCGCUAAGCACGCUCGGCAAACGAACGGUACAUACGCACAACAAACGGAAACGGAAACCCAAGUGCUGCAAACGACAGGCGGCAAAAACGUUUGGCAAUUUGCUCCGCCGGACAGGCAGGCAAUCUAUGAGCACCGUUAGUUGGCUUUCUGUCAGCGCCGUGUACAUAUUUGCCAUACCGCUGCACUAAGUGUGUGUGUGUGCGCGCUUAUAUACUUCGUACAUAUGUGCAUGUAUGUUUGCAUCUAUGCGUAAAGGUGUUAUGUAAUCACGCGCCAUUACUGCAGGCGUCAAACAACCAAUAACUGGUGCGCAGCGUCGCAAUAAACAUUUUAUUCAAAACAUAAAAGUCACGGCGUUGCCAAGCGGCAAACGAAAUAAUUUGGUGCGAGCAAAUAAUAUUGCCACACUUUUAUUGCACAGUCAAGAAACACACACACACAUUGAAGCACGUGUUCACAGCAUUAAAAGACACAGCAGCCAUAGUUUGCGGCCGAGCAAGUGCCGGACAAUUAACUUCAACGCCCAGCCAGUGCUUGAGGCGGCGCGACACGUGCAAGCCGCUGCUAAAUAUCCGACAGUGUAAAGAUCUUUUUUCCAGCCGGCCAAAGGAUACAAUAAAAAACCGCCAACCUGGAACUAAUGGAAUUAGAGAAUAUUGUGGCCAAUACGGUCUACUUGAAAGCCAGAGAAGGUGGUUCGGACAGCAACAAAGGCAAGAGCAAGAAAUGGCGCAAAAUACUACAAUUCCCACACAUAUCGCAGUGUAUACACCUCAAAGACAAAUUAGAUAUAAGUUAUGGUUACGUGAUAGACCAACAACCCAUCGGCCGUACUUUGUUUCGGCAAUUUUGUGAAAGCAAACGGCCGAUAUAUUUUCGGUACAUUUCGUUCCUGGAUGAAGUGCAGCGAUACGAUGUGGAGUACGAUGAGAAUCGUAUUGCCAUUGCGGUCGACAUUGGACGACGUUUUCUGGCUAUUGACACGCCAACCGCGCUUAAUAACGGCAUUUGCGAUAUCGGCGAUGUCAUGCGAUCGGCGAAUGAGAAUACAGUUGACGAUGACGAUGCCAACAACACUAGUUCCACCAUUGAGAACAACACUGCUGCAGAGACUGAAAAUCACAAUAAUACCACCGCCAUUAAUAGCAGCAGCAAUAAUCACAAAAACUACGAGCAUCACAAUGGCGAUGAGCACAAUAGCGGCAGCAAACAACAACAGAAACAUGUAUUGAGCGAUGGCAGUGCGACACAUGAUGCCGGCGGCUCUGGUGGCGGUGACAGCGGUGUGGAUGCAGGCGAUACAGUUGGUGGUGGCAGCGGCGAAGGUAGUGGCGGUGGAGGAGGUGGUGAUGACACCGGCGGCGGUGACCUGAACAAGGAUAGCAGCAAUUGCCAUUAUAGCCCGGGUGUGGGCAAAUUGAAUCCCGCUACCGGCGAUGAACUGGUGCUGGACGUGCUCAAUGAUGAUCUUAUUGCGCGAGUGCGUGACAAAAUCACGAGCGGGAAUAAAGAACUCUUCGAACCGUGCGUAACGGCUGUGAAGGCUUUCCUGGCCGGUGAACCGUUUCAAGAGUUCGAGACUUCAAUGUAUUUCCAUCGUUAUUUGCAAUGGAAAUGGCUCGAGGCGCAACCCAUCACCUACAAAACGUUUCGCAUGUAUCGUGUAUUGGGCAAAGGUGGCUUCGGCGAGGUCUGUGCAUGUCAGGUACGUGCAACUGGAAAAAUGUACGCCUGCAAAAAGCUGGAGAAGAAACGCAUAAAAAAGCGCAAGGGUGAAUCGAUGGUGCUCAUAGAGAAACAGAUUUUGCAGAAAAUCAAUUCCCGAUUCGUUGUUAAUUUGGCGUACGCGUACGAGACGAAGGAUGCCCUCUGCCUAGUGCUAACGAUCAUGAAUGGCGGUGACUUGAAAUUCCAUAUCUAUAAUAUGGGUGGCGAUCCGGGCUUCGAAAUGGUGCGAGCACGUUUCUACGCCGCCGAAGUCGUCUGCGGACUGGAACAUCUACACCAACAGGGUAUUGUAUAUCGAGAUUGUAAACCGGAGAAUAUAUUGCUGGACGAUCACGGGCAUGUGCGAAUAUCAGAUUUAGGUUUAGCCGUCGAAAUACCGGAGGGUGAUUUGGUGCGCGGUCGUGUUGGUACAGUGGGUUACAUGGCUCCGGAAGUGAUCGACAAUGAAAAAUACUCAUUCUCACCGGAUUGGUUCAGUUUCGGUUGUUUGUUAUACGAGAUGAUCGAAGGUCAGGCGCCAUUCCGCAUGCGCAAAGAGAAGGUGAAACGCGAAGAGGUCGAUCGGCGUGUGAAGGAGGACAAUGAAAAGUAUUCUAGCAAAUUUAGUGAUGAGGCUAAAUCAUUAUGUCAGCAGCUGCUCGCUAAAUCCAUAAAAGUACGACUUGGCUGUCGAAAUGGUCGCUACGGUGCACGUGAAGUGAAACUGCAUCCAUUCUUCAACUGCAUUAACUGGAAACGGUUGGAGGCAGGCAUGGUGAAGCCGCCCUUUGUACCAGAUCCGCACGCCGUGUACGCCAAGGACGUGCUCGACAUUGAACAAUUUUCGACGGUGAAGGGUGUCAAUAUCGACGACUCCGAUACGAAUUUCUAUAGCAAAUUCAAUACCGGCUCCGUGUCGAUUUCGUGGCAAAAUGAAAUGAUGGAAACCGAGUGCUUCCGCGAACUGAAUGUAUUCGGCGUCGACGACAGUCCAACGCCCGAUUUGCUGAUCAACGCUGUGCCGGAGCCGGAAAAAGCUGGCUGUUUUCCAUUCAGAAGAAAGAAGAAGCAACCGCUGCGCACACAGCCGAUACCCAUUCCCGAACACUUACUAACCACUAGUCACAGCGUUUCCUCGACGACCGUCGAAAGCUGAUAGCAUAAGUAAAUAAGUAACAAUAAUGAUAAUUGUACGCAGGCGCAUUGAAUUACAAGAAACAGAAAACAAAAACAGAAACAAACAUCAAUGAGUUGGUGCGAAGCGAGCAACAAACACACACACAUACAUACAUACAUGCUGGCUGGUGUUUUCGAUGUUAAACUAUAAUACUACAUAUAAAUUAAUUAAUGUAGCACAUACAUACAUACAUAUAUAAGUAAUCAUACACAUACGCACACACACACACACGCACAUACAAACGCAAUGGCGUGUGCAACAAACGACACAAAAACAUUGCUAUAGAUUACGGUGUUAAUUAAGCGAGAAUUUUGUAAGCAGCCGACACAUACAUACUUGUACAAACAAACUAUGCACAAUACAACAACAACUAACACACAAAAACACCUUUUUUUGCAUUACAUAAGCAUUAGAGAUUUAACAAAUUUUUUGCAAAUGCAUUAAGCAACUAUCUAAUUGUAGUUAUAUAAUAUGUAUUCGGUUUGUAAUCUUUUUGUAUUGUGCAAAAAAUGGCAACAAAAACAAAAAAA
rnacentral:lncRNA from 1 species